rnacentral:rRNA from 1 species
ACCCGCUGAAUUUAAGCAUAUUAUUAAGCCGAGGAAAAGAAACUAACAAGGAUUCCCUCAGUAAGGGCGACUGAAGCGGGAAUAGCCCAUGCUGCCAAUCGCUUCGGCGAGUUGUGUCAGGCGUGCCUGGCAGACCUCCGGGGAGAAGUCCCUUGGAACAGGGUAUCAGAGAGGGUGACAGUCCCGUCUGUGCCUCGGAGGUUCUGUGUGAAGGCCGUAUUACCAGAGUCGAGUUGCUUGGGAUUGCAGCUCAAAGUUGGUGGUAAAUUCCAUCUAAGGCUAAACACGGGUGGGAGACCGAUAGCGAACAAGUACUGUGAAGGAAAGAUGAAAAGAACUUUGAAAAGAGAGUCAAAGAGUGCCUGAAAUUGCUGAGAGGGAACCGUAGGUAACCAAUGUGUGCUUUGAUCAUCUUUCGGCGGUUCUCUGGGACCGCCGCCCUGUGAUCUUAGACAUCCCAGCCUUUUCAUGUUCCGGAGGAAACCAUCUGAUUUAUCAGGUAGAGGCUCUGGGGGAUGCGAAGGCUUGGCAAAUGGUUCUCUACACCCCGUCUUGAAACACGGACCAAGGAUUG